AUGAAGCCACGUGACCCCCUCUUGAAGCUACCAAAUGCGGCGCGGCUGAAGAAGUGCAACGCAUCCGCGAAGAAGAACAAGGCGGCGGACGGCUCCGGCUCUUCGAAGCCGUCGAGGAAGAAGCUUGCAGGGUGUGCGACAGGUGCGGCGGCUACCGAAGCACCGACGAGCUCACUUGUUGAGCCGGUGGCCGACGCGCACAAGGUGUUGAGGAAAUGCCCCAAAAGUAUAAAAUUCGCCAACUUUUUGUUGUUGUUAUUUUUUGAAUGCACACAUAUAGAUAGCUUAUUUGCUUCAUUGUAUAUACUUUGUAGCUUCAACGAUGAGGCAUAUAUGUCAACUAUGGGUGUUGGCUCCAACAACUCGCAUUGGUCUCAAAUCAAUGACAUGCAUUUCGAUGACCAUGAGUUUGAGGUGGACGAGGAUGGUGAGGGCAUUGUCGACGCACCGAAAGGAAGAGGAGGCAACUACACCAACGAAGAAGACGUCUUACUAUGCAAUACUUGGUUGCAAGGGUCGAGGGAUCCAUCCGUUGGAGGUGAUCAAAGUAGAGAUGCUUAUUGGAACAGGAUGAAGGAGCACUUUGAUCUACACAACAAUAGUGGAAUUGACCAAUCCGACCGAUAUCUUCGCUCCCGGUGGUCGACAAUCAACAAAAAUUGUCAGAAGUGGGCGGCCGCACAAAAGGCGGUUGACAAGUUGAACCCAAGUGGCAGAACUUUGCAUUUUAUCAGCAGGGUCGUGGCUUGGUGA
rnacentral:rRNA from 1 species